rnacentral:rRNA from 1 species
GAAUUCGCCCUUAGAGUUUGAUCCUGGCUCAGGAUGAACGCUGGCGGCGUGCCUAACACAUGCAAGUCGAGCGGGAUCUUUUUAAAUGACGCUUCGGUUGAUUUUAAAAAGUGAGAGCGGCGGACGGGUGAGUAACGCGUAGGCAACCUGCCCUUUGCAGAGGGAUAGCCAUUGGAAACGAUGAUUAAAACCUCAUAAUGCCAUUAAGAGACAUCUCUUGAUGGCCAAAGAUUUAUCGGCAAAGGAUGGGCCUGCGUCUGAUUAGCUAGUUGGUGGGGUAACGGCCUACCAAGGCGACGAUCAGUAGCCGACCUGAGAGGGUGAUCGGCCACAUUGGAACUGAGACACGGUCCAAACUCCUACGGGAGGCAGCAGUGGGGAAUAUUGGGCAAUGGGGGAAACCCUGACCCAGCAACGCCGCGUGAAGGAAGAAGGCUUUCGGGUUGUAAACUUCUUUUAGCAGGGACGAAAUCUGACGGUACCUGCAGAAAAAGCAACGGCUAACUACGUGCCAGCAGCCGCGGUAAUACGUAGGUUGCAAGCGUUGUCCGGAUUUACUGGGUGUAAAGGGCGUGUAGGCGGAGAUGCAAGUUGGGAGUGAAAUCCCCGGGGCUCAACCCCGGAACUGCUUUCAAAACUGUAUCCCUUGAGUGUCGGAGAGGCAAGCGGAAUUCCUAGUGUAGCGGUGAAAUGCGUAGAUAUUAGGAGGAACACCAGUGGCGAAGGCGGCUUGCUGGACGACAACUGACGCUGAGGCGCGAAAGCGUGGGGAGCAAACAGGAUUAGAUACCCUGGUAGUCCACGCUGUAAACGAUGAAUA